ensembl:ncRNA R04F11.20 ncRNA
CGAACAUUUGUCAUCAAGACAAACACACAAAAAAUAAAAUGAAUGAUGGAAAUG